UACAGAGGGGGCAAGCGUUGUUCGGAAUUACUGGGCGUAAAGAGCGCGCAGGCGGCUUGGCAAGUCGGGUGUGAAAUCCCGGGGCUCAACCCCGGGACUGCAUUCGAUACUGUCAGGCUAGAGGUAGGUAGGGGAGAUCGGAAUUCCUGGUGUAGCGGUGAAAUGCGCAGAUAUCAGGAGGAACACCGGUGGCGAAGGCGGAUCUCUGGGCCUUACCCGACGCUCAGGCGCGAAAGCUAGGGGAGCGAACAGG
rnacentral:rRNA from 1 species